CGUCUGUCUUAUUUAUUCCCAAAUCCCCGUCAGUCACAUCUUAAAUAGAGCUGGCUGGCUGCAUAUGCCUUUACCCUAACACCUAUUCCUAUGGCACUAGCAGUAAUAUUAAUCGCCAAAACCUAUCAAAUCUCAUAAUCUUCGAUCCUUUCUUGAUCUCUCAAGUUUCAUUUCACGUGGGUUUCUCAAAGUGUUGCUUACACAUUUUUUUUGGCAUUCUGUCCACCUCCUCCACCCUUAGUUUACUUGAUCGAUCUCAUCACUAAUUUGCGACCGGAGGUGGACAAACUGUCAACAGAGUUGUGUUGG
rnacentral:lncRNA from 1 species